rnacentral:misc_RNA from 1 species
GAUGAAGAACGGAGCGAAAUGCGAUACGUAAUGUGAAUUGCAGAAUUCAGUGAAUCAUCGAAUCUUUGAACGCACAUUGCGCCCGCCAGCACUCUGGCGGGCAUGCCUGUUCGAGCGUCAUUUCAACCAUCAAGCCCCAGGCUUGCGUUGGAGCCCUGCGGCUGCCGCAGCCUCCUAAAAGCAGUGGCGGGCUCGCUAUCACACCGAGUGCAGUAGAUUACUCUUCGCUCAGGGCGUGCAGCGGGUUCCGGCCGUGAAACCCCCUACUUUUAAAGGUUGACCUCGGAUCAGCUAGGAAUACCCGCUGAACUUAAGCAUAUCAUAAGCGGAGGA